rnacentral:tRNA from 1 species
GCCCUAGUAGCUCAGUAUAAGAGCGCCGGCCUUGUAAGCCGGAGGUCGGGGGCUAAAUUCCUCCCUAGCGCU